rnacentral:rRNA from 1 species
UACGUAGGGGGCAAGCGUUGUCCGGAUUUAUUGGGCGUAAAGAGCUCGUAGGUGGUUCGGUAAGUCGGAUGUGAAAUCUCCAGGCUCAACCUGGAGGGGUCAUUCGAUACUGCCGUGACUAGAGGUCGGUAGGGGAGUGUGGAAUUCCUGGUGGAGCGGUGAAAUGCGCAGAGAUCAGCAGGAACACCCGUGGCGAAGGCGGCCCCCUGGGCCGUACCUGACGCUGAGGCGCGAAGGCUAGGGGAGCGAACGGG